rnacentral:rRNA from 1 species
GACGAACGCUGGCGGCGUGCCUAAUACAUGCAAGUCGAGCGAACGGACGAGAAGCUUGCUUUUCUGAUGUUUGCGGAGCAGGGGUGUGUAACACGUGGAAACUCUACCUAUAAGAGUGGGAUAACUUCGGGAAACCGGAGCUAAUCCCGGAUAAUCUUUUGAAGCGCAUGGGUCAAAAGUGAAAGACGGUCUUGCUGUCACUUCUCGAUGGAUCCGCGCUGCAUUAGCUAGUUGGUAAGGUAACGGCUUACCAAGGCAACGAUGCAUAGCCGAGCUGAGAGAGUGAUCGGUCGCACUGGAACUGAGACACGGUCCAGACUCCUACGGGAGGCAGCAGUAGGGAAUCGUCCGCAAUAGUCGAAAGCCUGACGGAGCAACGCCGCGUGAGUGAUGGAGGUCUUCGGAUCGUAAUACUCUGUUAUGAGGGAAGAACAUAUGUGUAAGUAACUGUGCACAGCUUGACGGUACCUAAUCAGAAAGCCACGGCUAACUACGUG